rnacentral:lncRNA from 1 species
ACGCACUGGAACGGCUCCACGAGUCUGUCACCCAGGUUGGAGUGCGGUGGUGUGAUCUUGGCUCCCUGCAACCUCCACCUCCCAGGUUCAAGCGAUUCUCCUGCCUCAGCCUCCCAAGUAGCUGCGAUUACAGGCACCCACCACCAUGAAGAAUGGCAUUUUUAAAAGAUGGCUUUCUUAAAAAAGGAUACUCAGUUGCUCUUCUACUCAUACCAAGUCCUGCAGACACAUUCUGGGACUGCACCUUAUGAGUGCUGCUCACUCUGUUUCCUGCAGAAGACAUACAGAGCCGUUCGCAUAGAGUAGGGCCAUGAUUUUGAUUCAGCAAUUCUUCAAACCACUGAUGCUGGUUGACCAUUUGACUUUGUUUUUGAAGUAUUUUUUACAUACAGUGUACAGAACAUUUCCGCUGGAUAUUUGGAUACUGAACAGGAGUAACAAGAGGAACAGCUCCUACCUCCCCCCUGCCCCUUCCCUCACAAGCCUGUGAGUCAGGGCAGGGGCAGCCACUGAAAGUAGCAGAGGCCUUCAUAAAGGAGAAGUGAGUGGGAUCUGAGGGGACAAAGGAUCCCUGCCCAAGUGCAUGUCAUCCAGUGGCUGACCACAGUGUUCACGGCUGCCGCCAUUAGUCUUUCAUCUUUGGAUUGAGACCCAGUCUCCCAGAAGACCCUAUGCCAAUGCAAAUGGCUACUGGACAGUGAUAAUGUAUAAUGUUCCCUAUCCAGGUUGUCAGGUAGACCUUUGGAUUAACUCCCCAAAAGCAGCCCCCUAGGAGACAGGCGACAGCACCGCAGUCAGGGGAUGCAGGCGUGGAGGGUAAGAGCACGCGUCUAGAUUUCAGUUCAGUCUCUACCAUGUUAUUAGCUAUGCCACCUGAUGCCUCAGCUUCCUCAUCUGUCCAAUGCGGUUAAUUAUAGCACCAGCCUCUCGGGCUGAUGUGAGAGAUAAAGGAAUGGAGGCACAUAAGACCCUUAGAACAGCGCCCAACACACAGGCCAAGGGCUCUGUAACUUCACCUCUCAAUGGUCAAUGAUACAUAAUUUGAUGACAUUGUCUGAAGACCAAGGUGCUGGUGGCAGAGUCAGGACUGUGGGUGGUAGCGAGGGAGAGAGAGGCCCUGUGUAGUCAGGGGAGUGGCCCGAGGGGCAGAGGAACCCAGUCAGUAAACAGAGACGUUUUGUACUUCAAAGUUUUGCCCAUAGGCAGUUCUGUGACUGAAGACGGGGAGGUCGAAAGCAGAGGUGGUGACAGCCGGGAGUAACCGUGUGGUGUGGAGAGUCCUGGCCUGGCACACAGUUGUCAAGAGAAGGCUUGUGACUCAUCCUUUAUUUAAGCCUCAGGACACUGGCUAUAAAAUGUUGUGUUUUUUUUUUUUUCCUUUCAAAAUUUGACUUAGUGGCUAAUAUUUUUUUAAAAAAACACCAUGAGAUUUUAAAUAAAAAUUCCAAUUCCUUUCUUCUCAUGAAAACUUGGAAGAUUUAUUAAUGCAGGGCCUGACAUGUUGCACAGUAACAAUGGGCUGCAGCCAAGUGCCCGCUGGCCCGUUCAAAUGUACCCUCAGUUUGUUUAUUGCAUUUCUGCAACUCUCUUGUCCCCAGCACGGAGGAUGUUGCAAUUUUUUAAAGAGCAUUUGCAUCCUUAAGAAGAAAGUGAAAUACCACAUUUUUCUAUGACUCUUUUAAAAGUAGGAACAUGAAAAAAUGGACUGAGUAGGGUUGUGUCUUUUGAGAAAAAAAGGGAGAGAGCAUAUUUCUUUAUGGAAGAGAAAGAGGGUGUGUGUUUCAUGCAGCUGCUUCACUGCCUUCAGUUAACUGCUGUUCUCUUGUAGGACUCUGUGUUCACAAUUCCUGCCUAACACAAUACUUUGCUAGGGGUCAGCAACUAAAAUGGAAUAGGGAAAAAUACCAGCUUUUCUUGGAUUUUGGCUGACUUUAUGUUAAUAGAAUAUAUGUUUUUGAAACUCUCCCUCCAAGUUCAUCUAAACCACGUUGUGACAUCCACCAAUCCAAUGCCUUUAUUUUCUUCCAGUGUAUUGACCCUUUUGUGCUUGCAAAAACACUUGCAUGCAAAUUGUUUGUACCUGGGAUUCCUUUUACACCAUGUAACCCUGGCAAUCCUGGGAGACCGGGAGGCCCUGGGAUAUAAGGGCACUGUGUACACAGGAGGCCUGGUUCUCCUGCAAUGAGAGCAUACUAGCAUUACUUAAAAAGCUACAUUGAGUCCUCAGAAAGAACAAAUAUUUUCCAACCACACUAUCAUUUAUUACAUUUAAACAUUUUUAUGUAGUGAAAAUUAUCUAGGACGUUAUACAUAUUAAUUUAAAAAUUCAUUUAUUAUAGAUCUGCUUACUUUAAUGUUCUGAGCUAUACAGUUCUUCUGAAAGGGGAAAUUCCAAAAGUCUAACAUAAAACAUCUAUUUCAGUGUUUCUUUCCUUGCAUGCAGGCAAAAACUCACAUUUUAGGGAUAUCCAACAAUUUAUUGCAUGGGUGCCAAAUAAAUUAUUGAUUUACAGAUAAAUGAAUACUUUUAGCUAAUGGAAAAUAAGUCAUCACUGACUGGUAGCUAUUUGGGAUCAUUGUUAUCUCAGGGGGAAAAAUCAGUGAUAAUAAUGACGAUGAAAAAGGCUUAUCCUAAUACAACAUUAUUGAUUGAACCAACCUUUGGGCCCAUCAACUCCUGGGAUUCCUGGAGACCCUAGAUAGCCUGGCAGUCCGUGAUCUCCAGGUGGACCCUUGCGAAAAACGAUGUCACCUAUAAAAAUACAGCACCAAAGACAAUUUUUUAUUUGUGUUUUUUUCAAUUAGCAAGUAUUGUAAUAUAUGUAUUAUUUAAAAUGCAUCUCUCUCAUCUUUGUAUUGGAAGCCUAGUCUUUAGAAGUUUAUCUGCAACUGAGAAAGCAUGGUGACCAGCUCUUCCCUUCAUAUUACAUAGAUGUGGUAUUUUUAAGGUAGUUGAUCUUUGAAAGCUCAUUGUAUAAUUUUUUUUUUUGGUCACAGAAUCAACCUAUUUUAUCUUACUUAGUUGUUUCCAAUUAUUCCAAGUUGAUAUGGUUUGGCUGUGUCCCAAAUCUCAUCUUGAAUUGUAGUUCUAUAAUCCCCAUGUGUCAUGAAAGGGACCUGGUGGGAGGUAAUUUAAUCAUGGGGGCAGUUACCCUCAUGCUGUUCUUGUAAUAGUGAAUGAGUGCUUAUGAGAUCUGAUGGUUUUAUAAUGGGCUUUUCCCCAUUUUGCUCAGCACUUCUCCAUGUUGCCAUCAUGUGAAGAAGGACAUGUUUGCUUCUGCUUCUGCCACGAGUGUAAGUUUACUGAGGACUCCCCAGCCGUGCUGAACUGUGAGUCAAUUAAACCUCUUUAAAUUACCCAGUCUCGGAUAUGCCUUUAUUAGCAGCAUGAGAAUGGACUAAUACACAGACAAUCCCUUUAGCAUCUUGAGGCAAAGGAUCAACUCUUAUUCUGGAUAUUUUUGGAUACAUUGUAUUUUCCUGAUAUACUGUAGAUGCUUAAUAUAUAUUGAGUAAAAGAAAAAUGGAUUCUGACUCAGGGUAUCAUCUGUUUUCUCUUUGUUGCUUGUCCACAUCAAUUGAGUUGUCAUCCUUAAAGCAGGUCUCUAAGAAAGCUCUUCUCAGCUUCCACAUUAUCUGCUACUGUAAUGUUGCAAUGAACAGCUCCUUCUCUUAAACUGGUUAAUUGUGUUCAGUAAUCUAAUUUUUGGCUUUGCCAUUUCAAUUACAGGUUGAAGGCAAUGGUGAUGAAAGUAAAUAUUUAAAAACACUACCAUAGCUGUCCCAAAUUUCAGAAAAACAAGGUACCACUGGAACCAUUUAAUUUUGUUGGAACACAGAAUGACCAUCUUGUGAUCAGUUUUCUGCAUCUUUAAAAUACCUGGAAGGUCAUCUUUAAAUAGUACAAUCUGAUAAAAGUUUAAUACUUAGUGUAGACUUAUAUGAAUACUUCUACAUUCAUACAUUUUUGUAUACUUAUACAUUUUCAUACUCAAUUAAUGCUUAAUUCAAAAAAUAUCUGAGUACCUGCAGUGUUCCCCAUGCUACAUACUGGGCUUAAACAGCCAAAAAGACACAGUCUUUGACCUCAAAAUACUUUGAUUCUUGUAAGAAAAACUGACAAAGACAAAGAGAAGGCAAUGUGAAAACUUCUACAGUUGGGAUAACCUUGGAGGUUACAGGAUGUGGACUCACUGAAAGCUUUCUGCUGGACUUGAACUUGAAGCUGAAGUCUGAAGGACAGAUGGGUGUUGCUUAGCGAAGGGAAAGUAGGAAGCAAAGACCCCUGGACAGAGUGUAGCAGGCACAGAGGGAGCAUGACACCUUCGGGAGAGAGCCGCAAGCACCUGGGCCCAGAUCCCAGCUUUAGCUUCAUUAGCCCUGUGAACUCUGUAUGUCAGCCUUGACAUAGAAAAAAAGAGGAUACUAAACCUCCAUCUUAAAAGAGACUUGGAAGAAGCUGGGAUUAUAGGCACACCACCACACCUGGCCCCAGAAAAGGGAAUCCUUGACCUGCAAGAAUCGAGGAAUAUUGUUUCUGACAUGCUCAGUGGACCUACUGCUGGUGUUCUUAACCAUUUCCUUCCUAAGUGGAACUUCUUUUGAGGUUAAUGUUUAUAUACAAUUACUUUAACAUUGGAUUUGGGAAAUGGAACAACAUACUGCGGAUCUUUCUGCUACCGAUGAAAGAAGAAGGUUGAGUUUUACCUUCUAGAGCUUUACAGUGUAAACAAGCAGUAUUAGGGUUUGUUUUUACCUUCUCCCCUUUGGCCCCGUCACAGAAGCACUGGCCUUUGUCUUUACAGACACAACCCUAGGAAGAGGGAAAGAGAAAGGGUUUUGUUUAGAAACAGCUGAAUAAAUCCCAACCGGCAGGGUAAAAGCAAAUGCAUUUCUCUGUUCUUCGAGUAUUGGACACUAUCUGUUAGGAGCCAGGUGACCUUGUAGCAAUAUAUCAAUAGAAAUAUAUCAAUAUAUGAAUAGCAAUAAAGUAGAAAACUGAGAACAUGUUGCAUAAGGGAGAAAUGUCGGAUAAGAAUACAUCAUUUGUAUUGUACUUGGGAAUUUUAAGUGUUAAAGUAAUGGCCGUUUUUGCCAUUACUUUUAAUUACCUUUGUACCAACCUAAUAAUUUAUAUAUGGAAACGACAAAGCUAUCCUUUUUUUCAGGAUAAUAUCUAAUUGAAUCAUAAGAAAUUGCUGCUGUCAUAGUUAAAAAGUGGUCAAAUACUGGCAAAUUCUUAGGUUCUACAUAAUGUUCAUAUAUGUGUAUGUGUAUAUAUGUAUAAUGUAUACAUGUAUAUGUACCUUUUAUGUAGAACACAAUGUAUUUGGUUAGUGCCAUUACUUGGACAAUUUUUUUGCCAUUACUUUCAAUGGCAAAAGCCACAAUAACUUUUGCACCAACCUUAUAUAUAUUUGUGUAGAUUAAUAUGCAAUAUAUUCCAUAGGUGAUAUUAAGGUUUUCUUUGACUUAAAUAAUGUUUAAGACUGGGAAGAGGAUCAAUACCCAUUACACAUCUUUAAAGAGAACAAACUAACUCAUUAAUGCUAGUAUCAGAAUGUUCUUUCUUUUUUUAUUCUCAAAUAUUUUGAACAACAGAAUGUUCUUUCUUAUAAAACCAAAACCAAAACAAAAAAUUCAGCUGUGAGUUAGACAUACCUUAUCCUACCUAACUAGUCACUGUGACACACUUACCCCCCAGCCCUCACACCUAUGCACAUUCCAGCUCCAAUGGACAUCAAAUUUUUAAAACUUUUCUCUGCCAGCAGAGGAACAAAUAAAGAAAUAGUUUCAAAUAAUAGACUUAAAAUGUGUUUUGGCUGGGCACAGUGGCUCAUGCCUGUCAUCCCAGCACUUUGGGAGGCCGAGGCAGGCAGGUCACUUGAGGUCAGGAGUUUGAGACCAACCUGGCCAACCUGAUGAAACCCCAUCUCAACUAAAAAAUAUAAAAAUCAGCUGGGUGUGGUGGUGGGCUCCUGUAAUUCCAGCUACUCCAGAGGCUGAGGCAGGAGAAUGGCUUGAACCCAGGAGGUGGAGGUUGCAGUGAGCUGAGAUCAUGCCACUGCACUCCAGCCAGGGUGACAG